UGAUGAGGUAACUUAAAAAACGAUUCAUCAACCAAUGUCUUUCUAGUCUGUAAAUCUAUCUCGUUUGAUGUUCAAUAAUUCAUUUUUUAAAUUUAAAUAGGACCGUGCUCGUUUGACUCUACCUCAAAGCAAACUUCUAUAGUCAACCUGUACAGAGAAACGAUGGUUUCAUUAGGUGAAGGGCAAUUUAAGAAAGUGAAAAAGAUGUGGCAGUCCAUUUCUGAAUCAAUGAGGAAACAUCGCCAUAAAUUCAGUGCAAGCCAGUGUGAGGAUAAACUCAAAGCAUUAAAAAGGAAAUGGUUAAAUUCAAAGAAGCAUAAUAACAAAACUGGUCGGAAUAGGAUGGAUUGCGAAUUGGAAUCAUGAGCUAUUUCAAUAUAAGGAUAACACAAAUCCUCGUUACGUGAUUGGAAUGAACGGAUGCCGAACUAUGGCUAUGUCAUCCCAAAUCGAAUGUUUGCCAGAAAACGAACAAGAAAAACUGCUUAUUGAGCAGAACAAAGAUGAUCCAUCUAGUACGAAUAACACUGUAGAAUCAGCGAAAUCAUCUUCAUCAUCAAAAGCAUCAACUUUAUCUUUUUAAUAAGAGGCUAAGCAGAGCCCGAAAGACCAUAGAAUGUGUGUUUGGUAUUAUGGUGCGAAAGUUCUCUAUCUUUUCAAAAUGCAUACAAGGCACUCUGAAGGCUGCUUAGCGUACAUAAAGGCAGUGUGCAUACUGCAUAAUUUCAUUCGACCGAGAAACGGUCAUUCUGAUCUAGAUUACAGAUACAUGGUCCAGGAGACCUACUGCAACAACAUGGUACAACAAAACAACAUGCAUUUCGCGGGAAGGAUGAAUAAUCCUCCUGCUGCAGCAAAACUAACCCGUGAUAGGAUAGCCCAGUACCUCCAAAAUCAUUAACAUUUCCAUUAUUACUUUAAAGAAACUUUUGUUUUAAUUUUCACAUAAAAAAAUUUCUCUUUUAAAGUUUUACGCUUUCUGUAACAUUUUCAUUAUUAAUUUAAAGAAAUUAUCAUUUUAAUUUUAACGCAGAAGAAUUUCAGUUUUAAAGUUUUACACUUUCUGUCAUUGAAUUUUAAAGUUAUCAAUUUCAUUUCUUAUGAAGCAUGUUAAAUUGGGGUACCAUUAACUAUUAAGUUUUAUCAAACUAAAAAUUGCACAUUUGAAACAGCGACACUGGAAAAUGUUUUGGUACUUCUACACAUAUAAAAUCGUCAAUACUUAUGUAGGUACAGUUAGUGCCGAAAAUAUUCGGUUUGAAUUUAGCGUCAUUGUUUUUCGUUGCCUGCUCGCGUAAUUAUAACGAUCGGUCAAAAGUAAUUAGUGAUUCUGAAAGCUCAAAUCUUCCUCUUUCAGAAUCACUAUUCACUUUUGCCCGUUUGUGCUUUUAACUGGGAGAAAAAUGAAUAUUCGUAAAACAAGUCAAAAAUAGGCGUUCCAAAAAUAUUCGGUUUCAAUAAAAAAACAAAACAAAUAAUGAUACGCUCCGGGAAAAAGUACAAUACGUCGGUAAAGGUCAAGUCGGAGAUAUUCACACUACAAAUACGGCACACAUUACGCACAUUUCAAGACAAACCGUGCUCAGAAAUGUUGAAAAUUACCGAAUUUAUUCAACUUUGAUGUUGAAGUGUUGAAAUAGUUCAUUUCGACAUGAAAUGACACGUUUCCCGGGGUAAUUUUUCGCGUAGAAUUCGAUGCUGCAGUCUAAGUUUUUGUAAAACCAACUUGAGUACGUUUAUUCUCGAAAAAUUGUAUAAAAGCUCACCGAAAUGAACAUGAUAAAAUUUUCAGUCUUUUAGUUUUUCGCAUAUGCCGGACGAACUGUACGUACCAGCAAAAAUCUGUUACGGUGAUCUGAAAGAGAAUUGAAUUUUCUACAAUUUCGUUCAUGAAAUUUUUUGCUAGGAUGCUUUGUUUCAAAACUGUAGAUCUUUGAAGUUGGAGUAACGAAAAGUUGGUCUCAUACAAAGAUCAACUUUAAGAUCAAUUUUUCGUUACUCCAACUUCAAAGAUCUACAGUUAUGAAAGGAAGCGUCCUAGCAAAAAAUUUCAUGAACGAAAUUGUAGAAAAUUCAAUUCUCUUUCAGAUCACUGUAACAGAUUUUUGGUAGGACGUGCAGUUCGUCCUGUAUAUGCGAAAAACUAAAAGACUGAAAAUUUUCUCAUGUUUAUUUCGGUGAGAUUUUAGACAAUUUUUCAAAAAUAAGCGUACUCAAGUUGGUUUUACAAAAAUUUGGACUGCAGCAUCGAAUUCUACGCGAAAAAUUACCCCGGAUAACAUGUCAUUUCAUGUCGAAAUGAACUUUUUCAAUACUUCAACUUCUAAGUUGAAUAAAUUCGGCAAUUUUCAACAUUUUUGGGCACGGUUUGUCUUGAAAUGUUCGUAAAGAUGCGCUGUAUUUGUAUUUUGAAUAUCUCCGACUUGACCUUUGCCGACGCAUUGUACUUUUUCCCGGAGCGUAUCAUUAUUUGUUUUGUUUUUUUAUUGAAACCGAAUAUUUUUGGAACGCCUAUUUUUGACUUGUUUUACGAAUAUUCAUUUUUCUCCCGGUUAAAAGCACAAACGGGCAAAAGUGAAUAGUGAUUCUGAAAGAGGAAGAUUUGAGCUUUCAGAAUCACUAAUUACUUUUGACCGAUCGUUAUAAUUACGCGAGCAGGCAACGAAAAACAAUGACGCUAAAUUCAAACCGAAUAUUUUCGGCACUAACUGUAUUUACAUAGAAAGUUGAAAAAUGUACACAUUAAUUAUGUUUAAGUAUAUGAUUUUUCAGAUCAAGUACAUAUACCUUACCAAACCAUGGAAAUUCACACUACUGUGACGUUUACAAUAAUAGUGACUUUCUUAAUCAUCACUGGAAUGAUUAUAUUUCGCAAUACCCACCACUUUACCAAACUACAGUAAACUUCGCUUAAUGUUAUAACGUUUGUCCCAGCCCAUUUUAAUAACAUUAAGCGACUUAUAACAUAAACCAAUUGAAAUGUAAUGGGAUAUAAAAGGCUGGGACCAGACGAUUUUAAUAACAUAAAGCGAUUUAUAACAUUAACCUUUAUAAUAAUAAGCGAAGUUUACUGUAUAAUAUUUUUUCAUCAUUUUAGUAAAAGGCACAAUUUGAAAAAAUACCACCGCCUAUUUCAAACCGUUUUUGAAAAUUCUUGGAGACUCCAGUAGAUUUUUGAAACUUGAAAUUUCCACAAAAUUUUAUCAAAAGCAGUUGGAAAGCAGAAAUUCAUUCUGUAAACUAAUUUCAAUACGCUAUUUCGGCUUUUAAACUCCAUUUGAUGAAAUUUUGUAGAAAUUGCAAGCUUCAAAAAUGUGCUGGAGGCUCCAGAAUCUCCCAAAACGGUUUGAAAUCGUUUCCAAUUAAGUAUUAUUGUGUAGUAUGUCGAUUGAUGUGUUUUCGAGGUCGUAGAGUUCGAAUCUAGAGUUAGUUUUUUUUGUAGAGGUGGGAGGGGGGAUGAGGCGCGGGGAGAUAGAAAAUUCCAAAUUGUGCUUGAAAUAUUAUCGUGUAACCAAUGUGUCAACUGUCAAUUAAUAUAUUCUCGAGAUUGUAUUUUUUUUUCAGUAUUGUAUUUUUUUUUCAGUAUUAAUGACAAAAUAAAAAAAGCAUCAAUGUGGAAUCCGGCAUGACGCUCACCGGUUUGACCCCGCAUAGUUAUUGUACGUAAAAAAAUGUACAUGGUAAAAUCAAUGUAAAUGUUUUGAAUUUAAUUCAAAAAAAUUAAUAAAUGAAACUCGAUCUGAGCUUUGAACAA